rnacentral:rRNA from 1 species
AUUGAACGCUGGCGGCAUGCCUUACACAUGCAAGUCGAACGGUAACAGGUUAAGCUGACGAGUGGCGAACGGGUGAGUAAUACAUCGGAACGUGCCCAGACGUGGGGGAUAGCUCGGCGAAAGCCGGAUUAAUACCGCAUAAGCUCUGAGGAGGAAAGCGGGGGACCGUAAGGCCUCGCGCGUUUGGAGCGGCCGAUGGCAGAUUAGGUAGUUGGUGGGGUAAAGGCUUACCAAGCCUACGAUCUGUAGCUGGUCUGAGAGGACGACCAGCCACACUGGGACUGAGACACGGCCCAGACUCCUACGGGAGGCAGCAGUGGGGAAUUUUGGACAAUGGGCGCAAGCCUGAUCCAGCAAUGCCGCGUGCAGGAAGAAGGCCUUCGGGUUGUAAACUGCUUUUGUACGGAGCGAAAAGGCUCCCUCUAAUACAGGGGGCUCAUGACGGUACCGUAAGAAUAAGCACCGGCUAACUACGUGCCAGCCGCCGCGGUAAUAC